AUGCCUUGCAAUGUUGCUUAUGUUUUCCCAUUGGUUUGUUCACCAAUCACCCAACAGGUAAAUGUGCUUGACAGGAUUGAUCAGUCUAGCAAAUGCAUUCCGCAACAAAUAUAUCCAAGGAUCCAAGUCUUCGACAACGUCACCACGAAGAAAGCAAUAGAUGCAUUGAGUGACAAUUCUGGCUCUGAAAUAGUUUUUUGCGGUCCAAACUGUACCAUAAAAGUGCAGGCUCAAAAUUGUGGCCAACUACAAUUGUCAGAUCCCCCUCAGUUGAAUUGCCGAGUAGCACCGUCCACUGAACCUCCAAUUAUGUCAGCAGGCGACAAAAUCGGCAUUUUAAUCAAAGAACACAAUGCAUGCGUGAUGGCAAAUCAUCCGACAACCGGUCUCCUACAUCAAGCAAGGCCCCACCUGACGGCUCACCGCACUGCUAGUGACGGGAGCUCUACCGGUCGAAACACAUUACCACGUAAGAGGGUUUAUGCAAAAACAAAUGGUGCUUCCAGUAGCAGGCCACCUCAAAGGAACGAGGCAUCAGGUGGUCAAGCCAGCAUGGACAUCGACGAAGAUGCUGAUCUAAGUCAUAAAGACAUUCCCGAUAGUUUUAACCGGCUGGCACAUACAGUGGACAAAACUGUUGCACAUGUACUAAGGCUUUACAUGGACAUUGACAAAUCCUGCGAAGAUUUUGUUGGUUUCGCCCAAUGCACUGACCUUCCUAUGAACAUGAAGAACAAUGUGUCUGGAGAUUUGGCAACUAGACUAUGGUCGCCAUUGUCAAUCACAGAGCGUUGCAUUAACAUGCUAUCACAAAUCAUUGAGUUUUGGAUAUCGAAGUCGCCCUCCAACAUGCUCGCCAGACAUUGGGUUAUUCAUAAGACCCCACGGUAUAUCUCUAUCGGUGGUAACUCCAUCAAAACAGAGUUGCUUGGUUGUAAAACAUUGAGCCACGAGAGUUGUGCUGUGCUUGCUCGUCGUUUUGCCCAGAUUGAACGUGCAUUUGCGAAUUCCAAGGGUGAGGUCAUUUCGUGCCAGUUCAUGGAGCCAGAUUUUGCAACACUAGUUAUGAGCAACAUCGAUCCUAGACAGUUUUCUUUUCCCAGCAUCACCGAUGAUGGAUGGUGCGUUUACCAGCUGGACAUGCUUCGCAAAAGGAUGAUAGUGCUCGAUCCUCGUGCAGGACCUUUUGGAUACACUACUGACAUGGUUAAGUUCCACGAAUUCGUCAGCAACAAAAUUCUUGCAUGCUUCUUCCUUUGUGUCAAGCAUUUCUUCCGGAGUUGGCCUUGCACUGAUGCUGGAUGGUCACGGUCAUUACCGAUUGUAAUGUCCGACAAGUUCCCUAGCAAAGACCAUGGCAUAUGUGCUUUAUUCAUGGCUACCAAUCACGACGGUGAUAGCCUCGCACAACCCACUACAAAGGAUAAUAUCAAUUGUUUCCGCCGCAACAUUACCUAUGAAUUAAUGCGCAUCCCGGGCAAUGAGUCACAAAUACCAGCUGAAGCACUUCAAUCUAUCAGAUCAUCCCUCAAUAUGCCUUAG
rnacentral:rRNA from 1 species